CAACUCUUAUAAAAGGAAAACAUUUAAUUUGGUGGCUUAUAGUUCAGAGGUUCAGUCCAUUAUCUUCAUGGUGGCACGUGGUGGCACACAGACAGACAUGGUGCUAUAGAGGAAGCUGAGAGUUUUUCAUCUUGAUAUGCAGGUAACUGGAAGGGAACUGGGACCCGGGGGGUGGCCUGAGUGUAUAGAUCUCAAAGCCUGCAUCCACAGUGACAUACUUCCUCCAACAAAGUCACACCUAUGACAAGGCCAUACCUACUUAUAGUACCACUUCCUAUAAGCUUAUGUUGUCCAACUGCAUUCAAACUACCACAGGUAGUAUUUACAAACAACAAUAUCCUACAGAAAUACUCAAUGAAAUACAUAAAUGAAAUUCAGUUUUUCCUAAAAGGUAUAAGCCCAUAUUGAAAUCACACAUGGAACCUCUCUUGUGUAUUGGAACUACUAUAUGUAACAUGCAAAACAUGUCUUAAAUCUAUCACAGAAUGGCUAAAAUCAGUCACCUCUCCAUAUAUCCUGAUUCCUUUCCAUGGAGAAAUGUAUUUAGAAGCAAGGCAUGUUCAUAUAGUAAGAUUAGGGACAGUAAAAUGUCUGUGAUCUGAAGUUGCUUUUUUAAAAAAUUUAUGGCUCCAACAAUAAGAUAUUUUUCAUGAGUCAUAUUUUGAUUGACUUGAACAACUCAAAGAAUAACAUAUCUUUAAUACACUAUUCAUAUUAUGACAAUAUUAGCUAUUGACAGGAAUAUGUCAGAAAGACUAUGAAAGUGUUUCUUGUUUGGGAUAAUGGCAUCAGUUGCAGAGCUCAUCACAUUGUUUCCUCUAAUUCAGAAAUGCUGGCUGCCCCAUUGUUCUCUGGAUCUGUGUUUUUUGGGGAGCCUAAGAAUGGGCCUUUCAGAAUGUUGCUUGUCUUCUGGGUUUUAGUUAAUUUUAAAACUUACCCAGUUCCAAGUGCUCAACUAUGUAUGAAUGGUUUGCUUGUAUUAACCUCACAUCACUCAAGGCUCAAGAAACUUCAGGAAUGAAGGUCUUAAAGAUGUAAGAUCAGAUAAAUGGGAGGGGAGCUUACACACCAUGACUUUUGUAGAAACCAUGGUGGUAGAACACAAAAAUCUAAAGUAUCUUGUGAUCCCCUUCCGAGAUCAAGUCUGUCAAAAUUUCACCACAGAUGAUGGAGGGGCUCCAAAAGCUCUACUCUUGAAGUUAAAUAAGUUAUUGGCAAUUGAUGACUCCUGAAGAAAAAUAGGCUAUAACUUGAAAUGGAGUGAGGAGGAUGACACAGGUAGAGUUGAAUAAAGGAAAGCAGAAAGAGAUAAUCACAUUUUAAUUAAAAUAUUUUAAAAGUUAUAAUGCCAAAUUACAUAAAUCAAUAAUCUUGAACUAUGACUUUUUUUUUUUACCAUUUUGUGUUUGUUUUCUCAGAAUUAUACUUUUGAAAUCUAUCCAUGUUGACAUAAGUUGGAGUAGGCAGGUCUUCUAGAAUUGCCUUUUGUGACUACACACUUUAGAUUCUCCUCACACCGAUGGCUUCUUAGGAAUUCUGCCAAAGUUUUGCUUCCUAUGACCCUUACAAUGCACAUUUUUUUUUAAAAAAAAAACUAAAUAAGCAUUUGUUCUACCACCAAACAUUUCAUUUUUGCUCAUAUAUCCUACUCUUGAUGGUAAAAAUAUGUUUUCAGUUUUAAGAGUGGAAAAGUUUAGUAAUCAGUUCUAUCUCUUACUUUGUCUCUGUGUCUUUGAGAGAUAGUGAGACAAACAAAAUGGGACAGAAAAUCAUCCAAUUCCUGGUGAAGUCAGGUACCAGAUCAAUCAUAAGAUGAAUAUUUCCCUGAAAUAUAUUAAAAGAAUAUCUCAUUCAUUCAGAAUUAUUCAUUACAUCUUAACAGAAGUAGGACUAUUAGAAUGUAUUAAAAAUAGAAAUAGCAAAUAUAGAUUUCCUACUUAGAAAAAUAGUUAAUGCAUACACACAAACCUCAGUCUCCCUCAUUUCCUGGCUGUCACAGAACUUUAAAUUAUUCUAAUAUAGGGCACCAAUUAGGUCAUGGUUGUUUUGAGAUAGUUAUUGUCUUUCAAACACAGUGCAAUCAUUAUGGCAUUUAUAGCCCUACUCUGGAGUUUUUCCUUACAGGAUUUUUCCUCCAAAUCACUCUGACCUGUUGAUAAUUUAAAUCUAACAACCUGAUUAGGUGAACAGAGGCAUUAUAGAAACUAACUAGUAUAUUAGACAACCAAACAAGGUCAGAGGAGAGAAGAAGGGAUGGUGUUAGUGAGAUAAUUACCUUUUUCUUGGCCCCUAAUGAAUUCAUUUACUAAUGCUUGUAAUAUUAGAUUGACAACUUGUAAUUUAUCUAAUUGUUCCAUAAAAUUUCAGUGCAAUUCUGAAGAAAAAAACAAGAAACAAACAAAAUCUGAGGUGUAGUUCUAGCAUCUUCAAGUAUACAAAAUAAUUUUCUAAAGACAUUUUUUCUAAGAAGUGGGCAACUUAAAAUUAAAAAAUGCAAUAUAUACUGAAAUAGAAAUAUUUUAAAGUAACUGGGUCAUUUUUCCUGGUCAAAUUUAAAUAAAGUACAAAUAACGUGCUCAUUUCUCUUGGGAAAACAGUUGGCUGACUUGUGUAUGAAUGAAAAUACUAAUUCUAACAUUUUAAAAUUAAGUCUAUCAAGAGAAGUUAAGUUUUGGUGCUGUAAAACAUGCUGAUAUUGUUUGAUUAACAUUUUUAUUUUAUUUAUGUAUUUUAAAAGUGUUGUCAAAACUGUAGUUGCAUGCAUGGUUGUAAGAAAUGAUACUGAGCAAUCCUAUGAAUACAACUCCAGUCCGAAUUAAAACACAUUAAAACCCUCAGCCCAAUUUCAUAAGCAGGGCUAUUUGAGGGUUCAUCACUUCCCACUGCCCUUUAAAAUCCAUAUGCAUCUCCCUGUUACCCUGGAGCAGACCCUUUUGUCAUCACUUUAAGGACAUUUAAUGAAUGGGAUCUCACAGUUCUUGAACAUUGAAUAAUGGCUUUUUUUCCACUCCAUAUUAUUCUUAGAAAUAUAUCCACUUUGUUUUGAUCAUCAAUAAUACAUUCGUAUUAUUGCUGAGGAAGAUGUUCCAUUUGUUGUUUAAUCACUCACCUCUUGAAAGGUGUCUGCAUCAUUUCUUGUUUGGUGCCUUUGUGACUACUUAAGGCACACCAAUGGGACAGUUUUCACUAAAAAUACAUUCUUUUGUUUCUUGAGAAGAAGACAUAAUAGUGCCAUUUUAUGGUCCAUAUGUUAGGUGAAUGCUUAUAUUAAUUUGGAAAUUCCAAACUGUUUAUGUAGUUGCUUUAUUGGGUUAAAACCCUACCUUCAGGUGCAAGUCCUCCAGGUUCUCUUAGUCCUCACAGAGUGUGUGGGUUUCAGUUUUUGCAUUAAUCAUUUUGAUUGGAGUAUGGUCACUGCUUACUGUUACUAAUACCUGUUUCUGUUGCAUGAAUAAUAAAAUCCCAAAGACAGACAUUGGAGUUCAAGCUGAUGAUCAGAAAAGCAAAGCAGCCAGUGCUCAAGAGUUCUCACCUCUAGCAAUGCUCAGACCACAGGGGUGAUCCCCUAAACCUCAGAUUGCAUCUGCAGACUGCACUGCCCUCCAUCAAGUCUCAGGAUCCCAGACUGCUAUGCUCUCCUCAUCGUGACUGGAGACUAAUUGCCACACGAGACCCUUUUCUUCUUCCUUAUAUACAUCUCUAGUGCUAGGAUUAAAGGCAGUAAAGCCUUCCAUUGGGAGUCAACAAAGUCUGCAUACCAAGUUGAAGCAGGACCAUUCUGCCACCCCCUGCAUAUCAAGGCUGACCAAGACUGAGAAGUAGAUCCAGUUUCUUUCUUCCCUAUGUGAUGAAUACCCAGUUUUCCUAGUACCAUUUACUAAGGAAACUUGUCUCCAAUGUAAGUUUUUCCCCGAAUUCUUUUCUUUUUCUCUUUAUUUGUGACAUCUUUGUCAAAAAGCAAUUGGCUAUAUACAUUUAUGUCUGAAUAUUCUGCUCUAUUUGUUUAUACUAUUUAUUUACACCUGUUUUAUUAUAUUUCGUCAGUGCCAUACUAUGUUUGUCACUAUAUCUCUGUAUUGCAAUUUGUGGUUAAAUAACAUGAUACCUCCAACUUUUAUUCUAUUGCCUUGAUCAUUAUAUUUGCUUUGGUAACAUUAUGUUUGAUACUUAUGUUUCAUAGUACACUCUGAAAUCAAGUAGAACAAAUUUCCUCAGGAUUUCUUUGACUAUUAAAAUCAUUUGUGAUUGCCUCCAUAUGUAUUUUAUAAAUUCUUAAAUUAAUGAAAUUGAAUUUUUGAUGAAGGAAAUAAAUUGUUACAGGGAGCAUCCUUGCUUUUUUUAAAUAUUACAGUUUUGACAUUUCCCAUACAUAGUACUAGUAUAUUUUACUAUUAUAAGUCAUAUUUCUUCUAUACGUAAUUGUCUUAGAAUUGUCAUCAUGAUACAAUGAUGAAGUUUUCCAAAUUUCUACUACAUAUCUGUCGAGAAGUUUAUAUAUAAUUUUGUACUUCAUUAUACUUCAUUAUUAUACUUCAUUAUUAGCAUAUGUUGCACCAUUCUUGCAUCCCUGCCAUUUGAUCAUAGCAAAUAUUAUUAAUGUGAUGACAUACUUGGCUUAUUAGCAUUUUUAAGAAUUUGUUCUUCAAUAUCCAUUAAGAAAAUUAGCUAAUACUGUUUUCUUUAUUUUGUGUUUUUUCCUUUGAUAUUAUUUAUCAGAUUAGUGUUAACCUUAUAAAAUGCUCCUAUAAACUAUUCUCUUUCCUGUGUUUUGGAAUAAUCUAGGAAAACCUGUAUUAGAUAUCAGUUAAAAUUUGAAAAAUCCCAGAGGGGAUCCCGCUUUAACAUGGCCUGAUAGGAGUCUUUAGGCUAUUAAUUCAAUAUCAUGAUUGUUAUUGGCCUAUUAGUAUUUAUUUUCUCAUGAUUCUGUCUUGGCAAGCUGUUCAGGCAUUUGUCUAUUCCAUUUAAGUUAUCAAAUUUGUUGGUGCAUAGUUGCUCGUAACAGUCUCUAACAAUCAAAUGCAUCUGGUGUCAGCUGUAAAAUCCAAAUUUCCACAUCUUUGACAUCCUCAAGUCACUUUCUGUCCUAAGCAAGGAUCCCAUUUGCAAUUAAUUCAUUGUGGAAAUGGAAAAAUCAUUUUUCUUCGAUGGAUGUCACCAGGUAUAUCAAUCAAUCCAGGGUAGGUCGCUAUUCCCAGCAGUAGUUAGCCAAUACAACACAGAUUUUUUCUUUUUGUACCCUUUCUUUUUCUUUUUCUUUUAACCUGAAUUCUUUAAUUACCACUCAUAUUUACAUAUCCAUCCCCCCAUUUCCUCACCCUCCCAUCCUCCCAAGUUCCCCACCAACCCCCCCCCAAACCAUCUGCCAACUCUUGCCCAGGGAAGUUAGUUUCUUGUUUUUUGUUUCUUUUUAUUUUUAAUUUUUUCUUGUUGCUUUUAGUUUUAUUUGUGAGAGAAAAAUAACUUAUGAUUGGGUGCUCAGGAAAGUGAGAGGAGUUGGGGAGGGGAAAAUAAAAUCAAAACAUAUUGUGUGAAAUUUAUUUUUGUUUCAUUUAUUAAAUUUAUACAAAAUAUCAUACAAUAUAUUUAAUUCAUGUUUUCCCCUCUGAUAAUUCCUCCAAUAUUUCCCCCAUCUUGCUAUCCACUAAUAUUAAUGUUCUUUUGUUCCCUCUCUCUGCUUAAAAAUAAUAAAGAAAUAACCCCCCAAACACCCAUUGUUAAAAAGCCACUCACAAAAGUGCAAACCAAAAUAUAUGAACAAAAUAUCAAAAUGUCCAAAUAAGUAAAAUGGGGCAAAAAGUUUACAGAAAUAUUAUUGGGUUUGUUUGCAUCAUCCAACUCCAUGUGGGCAUGGGGCCUGACAUGAAUUUGUUUAUAUACUCACUGUUAUUCCAUUAGGAGUAAACUAAUUUUAUUUAACCAGGGGGAAUCAAUUAUAGAUACCUUCUAAAAUUUAUUGUUACAAAAACACUUACAAAUUAAAAUAUUUUAUAUGCUACUUUCAACAUUCUUUUCUUUUCUAACUGUGUACAAAUAGAUGAUUCUUUAUUUUACUUCUCUUUGGUGCAUGCUCCUUUCUUCUAGUCAGACUUCCAUUGCAUUUUUAUAUCAUAUGCUUUUAUUCUCAGGCAUCUGCAGAAAAUUUUAAAUUGCCUCAUUUUUUCUUUUGAGCUUGCUGUUGGUGUAUUGACAAACUUCUCUUGACUGUCCUAAUAUUAGAUAAGUUUCUUUGAAAGAGCUAUUUUCAGUUUUACACCUAAGAUUUCCUGUUUGCUCCAUCUCUGGGAUCUUAUAUUUACCAUUAAGCCAGUUCAUUAUUUCCUGAAAGAAUAUGAUGAUUAUUAGCUGCAGUGCCAACUUGCCAAGAGAAAGAACUUGUUGAAAACCCUUAUUCAGGCUUUAUUUAUGUUUGUCUUUCCAGGAUUUUUUUCUGGGUAAUUAUUCUAGUUUAUUUUUAAUGAAUUUAUUUUGUUUUUAUUAGAAAGAAAAUUAUUUUACAUGUCUAUCCCAGGUCCCUCUCCCUCCCCUCCUCCCUUGCCUCCUCCAAAUAACAUCCUACCUAUCCCAUAACCUUUCUGCUCCCCAGGGAUAUACAUGGCCCCCUGGAGAAGGGGAAAGGGACAUGAUCUCUUUCCAGAAUUUUUAUUCAGGCUAUCUAUGUUAUUCUCAGGCUAUUUUCGAUUCAAAUACUUCACCAUUGCAAGCCUAAGGCAAGAUUUCCUAUUGUCUGAUGUUAGUGUGUUGCCAAUAUUUUAAUGCUAGAUGCUGAUUAAAACUCUAUUUUGGUCCAUAUCCAUGUUGGGGUAUUAUUCAAUUGUAUGGAAAUAAUUUAUAAUGCAGCCUAUCCUCAUAAAAUUGCCCUGGGAUUGUGGUAGCUUUAGAAAACUUGUCCACAAACAGAGAUCAGGUUAAUGUACUAUUAAAUUCUGCAUGUUUCUAGAGAACAUCAAAAUGGAUAAUCCUACGUGAUAUCUGUGGCUACCAGUAUUCAAAUCUGUUUCACACCCUGAGAUUAAAGCUAGCCAAAUCCCUGACAACAAUAUGGAAGAACAAAAGUAAACAUUUUCCUGUGCUGCCCACUACUAUUGUGAUGUUGUAUGCAGUUUUCUUGGAGAUUAUUUAUUUUCUUCCCUGUUAGAGAGCUCAAUGGCAGACAAAGUGUUCCAUGGGAAACUAGGUGGGGCCAUGAUGGGCCAUUAAAGGAACAUGGGUGAGAGGCUACUUACAGGAGUUUGGAGAACUUAUGGGCAGCUCCAUCAACAAUGGAAUGCUUCUCUUCCUUCCAUAAGUUAUUAGCUAUUUAUAAAUCCUUAAUGUCUGAAGAAGCAUACUUUUACUUCAAUGUAUACAACUGUAGUGACUCCCAAUUGCGAUGGUCAUGGGUAACUCCAAAGAAACAACUACACACCAGGGCACAAGGUAUACACAUCCAUCUAUGGGUGGUGCUAUUUAGAAUAGAACUUAGUAAAUCUUGAACAAAAGUCCAUUCCUGCCACCUGUGCUACUGCAGGUGUUCCAGCUGUAGGAAAUUACAAGGUAGAGAACACAAGAAGCUGUCACAUGGUAAGUUUCACUCACCUGGAGCAAUGUUCAAGGACACAGUCACAUGAAUACUCCCUGUUUGUGCUAUAGGACAAUAAAAUCUUACUGUAUAUUAUUUCACAUAUAAUUUAACAUUUAUUAGUGCAAUUUCCUGUUUGCAAAUUUAAUAGGAAAUUAUUAAAAUUUUUACUUUGAGGCUACAUUGGCUGCCUUUAAAUUUUCUCCAAAAAAUUUCAAGUAUUUAAUUAACUUCAUGUGUCCCUUAAUUUGUCUUUAACUGUAAUUUAGAAUGAUGAUAUCCAUGAUGACUAAAUUGAGUGGAUAGCACUUGAAAUUUUUAGUCUAAUUGAACUGUCUUAGUUACUCUUCUUUUACCAUGACAAAACACUAUGACCAAGACAACUUAUAGAAAAGAAAGUGGUAAAUUUGGGAGCAUUCAUGAAAUUAGUCAUCUAGGCAGGCAUGACACUGAGGCAGUAGUUGAGAGCUUACCUCAUAUUCACAAGCAGAAGAAUAAUUGGGAACAAAUACUCAAAAAUAUGAUCUUUUGCAUACAUUCUCAUUCCAACCACCAUGAACUCUGUGUGUACUCCUUCUACUGACCUUAUGACAUUCUAUAAUAUAAACCACUUACAAAAAAACAUAGUGAUGCAAUAGAUUUGGAAUGUAUUACUUAAUAUUCACGAAAAUAUACCAUAAUUUUUUAUCCAUUUUUCUGUUAAGGAACAUCUAGGUAGUUCCCAAUUUCUGGCAAUUAUAAAUAAAGUUACAAUGAACACAGCUAAGUAAAUGUACUUGUGGUAGGAUUAACAGUCUCUUGGGUGUGUGCCCAAGAAUGGUAUAGAUGUGUCUUUUGGUGUCAAUUCCAAAUUUUCUGAAACACCACCAUGUAAAGGCUAUACAAGUUUGCGCCCUGAGCAACAUUUGGACGAAUGUUUCUGGCUUUCCCCAUCCUCACCAGAAUGAGAGAACCCUCAUAUUACUGAUCUUAGCCAUUCUGACAAGGGAAAGAUGGAAUCUCAAAGUAGUUUUGAUCUUCAUUUCCCUUAUGGAUAAAGAUGCCACACAUCUUUAAGUGUUUCUCAGUCUUUUGAGUUUCCUCUAUUUAGAAUUCUCUGUUUAGAUCUGUGCCCUGAUUUUAAUUGGAUUAUUAUAUGUUUUUUCUUAAGUUCUUUAAGUAUUUUGAAUAUGAGACUUCUAUUGUAUGUGGAGUUGGUAAAAAUCAUUUCUCAUUUUCAUAGGAUGCCUCUUGUCCUAUUGAUGGUGUCCUUUGUCUUAAAGAAGUGUUUUGGUUUCUUGACAUCCAUUUAAUAAUUGUUCAUCUUAAUUCCUGCUCUAUUAGUGUUCUGUUCAGCAAGUUGUAUGCUUUGUGAAUGUGUUAAAAAUUAUCCCACACUUUCUGUUGUAACAGGUUCAGUAUGCCUGAUUUUAUGUUGAGGUAUUGUUCUAUUUAGACUAUAGUUUGGGUAGGAUGCAAUAUAUGGCUCUAUUUGCAUUCUUCCACAGGCUGACAUCCAGUUUGAACAGUGCCAUUUGUAGCAGAUGGUUUCUUUAUUCAAGUGUGUAUUGCUGGCUUCUUCAUAAAAAAUCAGGCAUCCAUAGGAAUGUUAAUUUAUGUCGGUUUUUCAAUUCAAUUGCAUUUACCAAUAUGUCUGUUUUAUGCCAUUACCAUUCAGUUUUUAUUACUAUAUCUUUGUAGUAUAAAUUAAAAUCAUGGAGAGUGAUAUUCUCAGCAGUUAUUUUAUUGUUCAUGAUUAGGUAUCUUGAGUUAUUUUUUCCCAUAUGAAGUUGAGAAUUGUCUUUUCUAGGUCUGAAAAGAAUUUUGUUGGAAUUUUGAUGGAGAUUGCAUUGAAUCUUUUUAGGAUGUCCAGUUUUACUCUUUCUUACUGAUCCACAAACAUGGGAGAUCUUCCCAUCUCCCACUAUCUCUUUAAAUUCCUUUCUUCAAAGACAUGAUAUUUUUAUCAUGCAAGACUUUCACUAACUUGGCUAGUUACUCCUAAUAUGUUGUAUGUUAUUUGAGGAUAAUGUGAAGGGUAUUGUUUUCCUGAUUAAUUUCUCUGUCCAGUACAUUCAUUAUGAAGGGCUGUUGAACUUUUCAAAGGCCUUUUCUACUUCUAGCCAUAUGAUAAUGUGUAUUUUUUUCUUUCAGUUUGUUUAUAUGGAGUGUUACAUUGACUGAUUUUCAU